rnacentral:RNase_P_RNA from 1 species
GCGUUUGCUUGUAAUUUACAAGAGGAAAGUCCGGACACCGAAGAGCAGAGUUCCCUAUGAAAGUGGGGGCUAAUUAUAUUACGUAAAUGUUUUAGUAGGCUAACAUAAGUUAGCACAUAAAUGUUUGAACUAAUGUAAAAAGACGGAUAGUAUCACAGAAAAUAAACCGCCUAAUUUAAUUUAGGUAAGGGUGAAAAGGUGAGGUAAGAGCUCACCGCACCAAAGGUAACAAUGGUGGCAAGAAAAACCCAACUCGGUGCAAGGCAAAAUAGGAAAUCGAGUGGCUCGCUCUAUGAUUUUGGGUAUGCCGCAUAGAUAAAUAAACGCACAUUCAGCUUUAAGCUGUUGGACAGAAUCUGGCUUACAG